ACUGUCAAUGAUGAUUACCUACUCCCCUUGGUUGAGUUUAACGACCAUGAAAAAACUUACAUGCACUACCAUCUGAGACAGG